AAAUAAAGUUUAAAAAAAAGUAGGUAAAAAAUAGUGCUUCAUUUCCAGAUGUUUUAGUAGCUAAAAGCAACUCUCCGAGGCAGAUUCAAUUAUUUAACUUCAGUAAAUUAAAUAGAGCUAGUUAAAUCUGAUAUAAUUUUACAUUUUUCAUGCUUCAUUCUAAUAUAAUCCUAUUUAGAUGCUUAGAGGUUGUUAGAUUCAUGCUACUGAGUUCUAACUCUCCAGGAGAAGGACAGCAAGUUCUUUGGAGGAAAUAUUCCAGAUCAGUUGCUUUGAUAUAAAUACAAGACAUUAACUAUAAAAUUAGUGUACAAUGUUGUUAUGAUCAGUUCCAUCGUCUGGGUUUCGUCAGAGCACACCAUGCCGGACACUGUCUGAAUAAUGUGAACAGCAUCCACUGACUGUGUUGCACAAAGCAAAUCAGGUGCAACAACUUUAUCCGGAAAAAGAUUUCUAUUCAAAGCUAAAAUCCCAUGAAGCUAAUAUUCCAAACGACAAUGAUCAGCCUACCCAGCGACGUGCAAAAACAGCUACCGUUUAAUUUGCAUGGAUGAUUAUCAGAGGCAUUUCUCUAAUGUGCUUGUUACCAUUUAGAAUAAGCCACUUUACUCUGACUACAUUUGUUAUGGAUCACUGUCAUUCUGAAUAAAGCAGCGAAGCAUCAUCUAUGACUGCCAAUAUAUUCAGAAAAAUAAAUUAAUUUCAUUUUGACAACUUUCAAAGAGAUGAUUAUGCUUGA